rnacentral:rRNA from 1 species
CCUACGGGAGGCAGCAGUGAGGAAUAUUGGUCAAUGGACGCAAGUCUGAACCAGCCAUGUCGCGUGCAGGAAGACGGCCCUAUGGGUUGUAAACUGCUUUUGUACGAGGGCAAACGCAGAUACGUGUAUCCUUCUGAAAGUAUCGUACGAAUAAGGAUCGGCUAACCCCGUUCCAGCAGCCGCGGUAAUACGGAGGAUUCAAGCGUUAUCCGGAUUUAUUGGGUUUAAAGGGUGCGUAGGCGGUCGAAUAAGUUAGCGGUAAAAUCUCGGGGCUCAACCCCGGCGAGCCGUUGAAACUGGCGGUCUUGAGAGGGCGAGAGGUAGGCGGAAUGCGCGGUGUAGCGGUGAAAUGCUUAGAUAUCACGCAGAACUCCGAUUGCGAAGGCAGCAUACCGGCGGCGAACUGACGCUGAGGCACGAAAGCGUGGGUAUCGAACAGGAUUAGAUACCCCAGUAGUC